rnacentral:rRNA from 1 species
CAUGAAGCUGGAAUCGCUAGUAAUCGCGGAUCAGAAUGCCGCGGUGAAUACGUUCCCGGGUCUUGUACACACCGCCCGUCACACCAUGGGAGUCGGUAACGCCCGAAGUCAGUGACCCAACCUUAAGGAGGGAACUGCCGAAGGCGGGACUGGUAACUGGGGUGAAGUCGUAACAAGGUAUC